rnacentral:rRNA from 1 species
UAGGGAAUCUUCCACAAUGGACGCAAGUCUGAUGGAGCAACGCCGCGUGAGUGAAGAAGGUCUUCGGAUCGUAAAGCUCUGUUGUUGGUGAAGAAGGAUAGAGGCAGUAACUGGUCUUUAUUUGACGGUAAUCAACCAGAAAGUCACGGCUAACUACGUGCCAGCAGCCGCGGUAAUACGUAGGUGGCAAGCGUUGUCCGGAUUUAUUGGGCGUAAAGCGAGCGCAGGCGGAAUGAUAAGUCUGAUGUGAAAGCCCACGGCUCAACCUUGGAACUGCAUCGGAAACUGUCAUUCUUGAGUGCAGAAGAGGAGAGUGGAACUCCAUGUGUAGCGGUGGAAUGCGUAGAUAUAUGGAAGAACACCAGUGGCGAAGGCGGCUCUCUGGUCUGCAACUGACGCUGAGGCUCGAAAGCAUGGGUAGCGAACAGGAUUAGAUACCCUGGU